rnacentral:rRNA from 1 species
GGCCUAACACAUGCAAGUCGAGCGGAAACGAGUUAUCUGAACCUUCGGGGAACGAUAACGGCGUCGAGCGGCGGACGGGUGAGUAAUGCCUAGGAAAUUGCCCUGAUGUGGGGGAUAACCAUUGGAAACGAUGGCUAAUACCGCAUAAUACCUACGGGUCAAAGAGGGGGACCUUCGGGCCUCUCGCGUCAGGAUAUGCCUAGGUGGGAUUAGCUAGUUGGUGAGGUAAUGGCUCACCAAGGCGACGAUCCCUAGCUGGUCUGAGAGGAUGAUCAGCCACACUGGAACUGAGACACGGUCCAGACUCCUACGGGAGGCAGCAGUGGGGAAUAUUGCACAAUGGGCGCAAGCCUGAUGCAGCCAUGCCGCGUGUGUGAAGAAGGCCUUCGGGUUGUAAAGCACUUUCAGUCGUGAGGAAGGUAGUGUAGUUAAUAGCUGCAUUAUUUGACGUUAGCGACAGAAGAAGCACCGGCUAACUCCGUGCCAGCAGCCGCGGUAAUACGGAGGGUGCGAGCGUUAAUCGGAAUUACUGGGCGUAAAGCGCAUGCAGGUGGUUUGUUAAGUCAGAUGUGAAAGCCCCGGGGCUCAACCCUCGGAAUAGCAUUUUAAACUGGCAGACAUAGAGUACUGGUAGAGGGGGGGUAGAAUUUCAGGUGUAGCGGUGAAAUGCGUAGAGAUCCUGAAGGAAAUACCGGGUGGCGAAGGCGGCCCCCUGGAACAGAUACUGACACUCAGAUGCGAAAGCGUGGGGAGCAAACAGGAUUAGAUACCCUGGUAGUCCACGCCGUAAACGAUGUCUACUUGGAGGUUGUGGCCUUGAGCCGUGGCCUUUCGGAGCUAACGCGUUAAGUAGACCGCCUGGGGAGUACCGGUCGCAAGAUUNAAACUCAAUGAAUUGACGGGGCCGCACAGCGUGAGCAUGUGUUUAAUUCGAUGCACGCGGAGA